AUUGAACGCUGGCGGCGUGCCUAACACAUGCAAGUCGAGCGGUAACAGGUGUAGCAAUACAUGCUGACGAGCGGCGAACGGGUGAGUAAUGCUUUGGAAUCUUCCCAGUAGUGGGGAAUAACCAGUCGAAAGAUUGGCUAAUACCGCAUACGUCUGUAAAGGGAAAGCGGGGGCUCGUAAGACCUCGCGCUAUUGGAUGAGCCAAAGUCGGAUUAGCUAGUGGUGGGGUAAUGGCCUACCAAGGCGACAAUCCGUA
rnacentral:rRNA from 1 species